AAGUCGUAACAAGGUUUCCGUAGGUGAACCUGCGGAAGGAUCAUUAACAAAUGUUUCCAACCACUCCACGUCUGUGCACUGUUAUAAUUCGCCAUGGCGGGCCCGCUGAUGCGUGGGACGCUGUGUGGAUCUUUGGUCCGCGCAGCGCCCGGGCAUCGGUGACCCGCCAUGUGUUUGUCCACGUUGAUCAUGUUAAUGACUGAGACUUUAUUGAAAAAUAUAAAGACAACUUUUAGCAACGGAUCUCUUGGCUCUC
rnacentral:misc_RNA from 1 species